UUUAUCGGAGAGUUUGAUCCUGGCUCAGGACGAACGCUGGCGGCGUGCCUAAUACAUGCAAGUCGAGCGGACAGAUGGGAGCUUGCUCCCGGAUGUUAGCGGCGGACGGGUGAGUAACACGUGGGUAACCUGCCUGUAAGACUGGGAUAACUCCGGGAAACCGGGGCUAAUACCGGAUGCUUGUUUGAACCGCAUGGUUCAAACAUAAAAGGUGGCUUCGGCUACCACUUACAGAUGGACCCGCGGCGCAUUAGCUAGUUGGUGAGGUAACGGCUCACC
rnacentral:rRNA from 1 species